GAGGGUAUAGCUCAGUGGUAGAGUGGGUGCUUAGCAUGCUCGAGGUCCUGGGUUCAGUCCCCACUACCUCCA
rnacentral:tRNA from 1 species